rnacentral:rRNA from 1 species
GAUGAACGCUGGCGGCGUGCCUAAUACAUGCAAGUCGAGCGAACAGAUGAGGAGCUUGCUCCUCUGACGUUAGCGGCGGACGGGUGAGUAACACGUGGAUAACCUACCUAUAAGACUGGGAUAACUACGGGAAACCGGAGCUAAUACCGGAUAAUAUAUUGUACCGCAUGGUUCAAUAGUGAAAGACGGUUUUGCUGUCACUUAUAGAUGGAUCCGCGCCGCAUUAGCUAGUUGGUAAGGUAACGGCUUACCAAGGCAACGAUGCGUAGCCGACCUGAGAGGGUGAUCGGCCACACUGGAACUGAGACACGGUCCAGACUCCUACGGGAGGCAGCAGUAGGGAAUCUUCCGCAAUGGGCGAAAGCCUGACGGAGCAACGCCGCGUGAGUGAUGAAGGUCUUCGGAUCGUAAAACUCUGUUAUUAGGGAAGAACAAAUGUGUAAGUAACUAUGCACGUCUUGACGGUACCUAAUCAGAAAGCCACGGCUAACUACGUG